GGAUGGAUCACCUCCUUUCUAGGAAACCAAAUAUCAUCUUCAGCUUUGAGAGACUUAAGAAAGUUUUUCAUUUAAAUUACUUGCAAAUUUAUUUUCAACAUUUUAAUCUUUUAAGAUUAAGGGCCUAUAGCUCAGUUGGUUAGAGCACACGCCUGAUAAGCGUGAGGUCGGUGGUUCAAGUCCAUUUAGGCCCACCAGAACCACACAUAGGCAAAAUCUUAAAAAAGCUCUUUGAAAAGUAGAUAAACGAAGGUUAAAAAGAUCAAAGGAACUAAGGGCGCACAGUGGAUGCCUUGGCACUAAGAGCCGAUGAAGGACGCAAUUAACGGCGAAACGCCACGGGAAGCUGUAAAUAAGUGAAGAUCCGUGGGUCUCCGAAUGGGAAAACCCAUUACAUUGAAGAUGUAAUAUUCUUCUAAUAAGAUUUUUCUUAUUAGAAGAAAGGAAACGCGGCGAACUGAAAUAUCUAAGUAACCGCAGGAAAAGAAAGUAAUAACGAUUCUGGUAGUAGUGACGAGCGAACCCGGAACAGCCUGAUACCAUUUCUAGUUACAAAAUUUUAACGAAGUAGAAGCUUUUGGAAAGAAGCACCAAAGAAGGUGACAGUCCCGUAAACGUAAGUUAAAAUCUAGGGUAUCAAUAAGUACGGCGAGACACGAGAAAUCUUGUCGGAAGAUGGGAGGACCAUCUCCUAAGGCUAAAUACUUCUUAGUGACCGAUAGUGAACUAGUACCGUGAGGGAAAGGCGAA
rnacentral:sRNA from 1 species